AUGUAUAUGUAUGACUAUGAUUUUUGUUGUGAAAAUUGGAGGUUAAAUUGUUGUUGUUAUUGGAAUUAUGGGUUAAAUUAUGUAGUUUGGAUUUGUUGUGUAAGUGCGUUGUGUCGGGAAUUGGACGUAUGUGUAUGGUUAGGUGUCUUAGAAGUUUGUGUUGGUGUUAUGUGUAUGGUCAGGUGUUUUAGAAGUUUGUGUUGGUGUUAG